AGCGGCGGACGGGUGAGUAAUGCCUGGGAAAUUGCCCUGAUGUGGGGGAUAACCAUUGGAAACGAUGGCUAAUACCGCAUAAUAGCUUCGGCUCAAAGAGGGGGACCUUCGGGCCUCUCGCGUCAGGAUAUGCCCAGGUGGGAUUAGCUAGUUGGUGAGGUAAUGGCUCACCAAGGCGACGAUCUCUAGCUGGUCUGAGAGGAUGAUCAGCCACACUGGAACUGAGACACGGUCCAGACUCCUACGGGAGGCAGCAGUGGGGAAUAUUGCACAAUGGGCGCAAGCCUGAUGCAGCCAUGCCGCGUGUAUGAAGAAGGCCUUCGGGUUGUAAAGUACUUUCAGCAGUGAGGAAGGUGGGUAUGUUAAUAGCAUAUUCAUUUGACGUUAGCUGCAGAAGAAGCACCGGCUAACUCCGUGCCAGCAGCCGCGGUAAUACGGAGGGUGCGUGCGUUAAUCGGAAUUACUGGGCGUAAAGCGCAUGCAGGUGGUUUGUUAAGUCAGAUGUGAAAGCCCGGGGCUCAACCUCGGAAUUGCAUUUGAAACUGGCAAA
rnacentral:rRNA from 1 species